AUACCUUUCUCGGCCUUUUGGCUAAGAUCAAGUGUAGUAUCUGUUCUUAUCAGUUUAAUAUCUGAUACGUGACCCAUUGGGUCACAUGAUAUUAAAUUAAUUUUUCAAGGGAGAAGCCCCACCACAGUAGCUUGCUGCUGGGGACUUCGAGCGUCGCCCAUGCGUUGCACUAAUGCAAGGGCUCGGCGCACCCAAU